GGCGAACGCUGGCGGCGCGCUUAACACAUGCAAGUCGAACGGAAAGGCCUGCUUUCCCUUGUGGAUUGCGGGUACUCGAGUGGCGAACGGGUGAGUAACACGUGAGUGAUCUGCCCCCAACUUGGGUAUAAGCCUGGGAAACUGGGUCUAAUUCCCGAUAGGACUGCAGGGUGGUGCCUGUGGUGGAAAACGAUUUUCUAGUGGUUGGGGAUGAGCUCGCGGCCUAUCAGCUUGUUGGUGGGGUAAUGGCCUACCAAGGCGGCGACGGGUAGCCGGCCUGGGAGGGUGGACGGUCACAUUGGGACUGAGAUACGGCCCAGACUCCUACGGGAGGCAGCAGUGGGGAAUAUUGCACAAUGGGCGGAAGCCUGAUGCAGCGACGCCGCGUGGGGGAUGACGGCCUUCGGGUUGUAAACUCCUUUCGACCGCGAGGAAGCCACCUGGUUGGAAGGGUGGUGACGGUAGUGGUAGAAGAAGCACCGGCUAACUACGUG
rnacentral:rRNA from 1 species